CAAAGGUUUGGUCCUGACUUUACUAUCAGCUUUGACCCAAAUUAUACAUGCAAGUAUCCGCAUCCCCGUGAGAAUGCCCUUAAUCCCCCAACCGGGGACGAGGAGCAGGCAUCAGGCACAACCUUAAAAGUCAGCCCAAGACGCCUUGCUAUGCCACACCCCCAAGGGAACUCAGCAGUAAUAAACAUUAAGCUAUAAGUGAAAACUUGACUUAGUUAGGGACAUGAGGGUCGGUAAAAUUCGUGCCAGCCACCGCGGUUAUACGAAAGACCCUAGUUGAUAGGAACGGCGUAAAGGGUGGUUAGGGAAGACUCAAAAUAAAGUUAAAGAGCCUCUAAGCUGUCGCACGCAUCCCGAGAGCUCGAGAACCAAACACGAAAGUAACUUUAAAAACACCUCACCUGACCCCACGAAAGCUAAGAAACAAACUGGGAUUAGAUACCCCACUAUGCUUAGCCAUAAAACAAGAUGUAAAACUACCCACACAUCCGCCCGGGUAUUACAAGUAUUGCUUAAAACCCAAAGGACUUGGCGGUGUCUCAGACCCACCUAGAGGAGCCUGUUCUAGAACCGAUAAACCCCGUUAAACCUCACCAUCCUUGUUUUCUCCCGCCUAUAUACCGCCGUCGUAAGCUUGCCCUGUGAAGGACUAGCAGUAAGUAAAAUUGGUACAACCAAAAACGUCAGGUCGAGGUGUAGCGAAUGAAGUGGAAAGAAAUGGGCUACAUUUUCUAUUCAAUAGAAUAAUACGAAUGACACCCUGAAACAUAUGUCUGAAGGUGGAUUUAGUAGUAAAAAGCAAAUAGUGUGUCCUUUUGAAUUAGGCUCUGAGACGCGCACACACCGCCCGUCACUCUCCCCUAUUUACACAAAAACCAAUAUAUUAAUAAGUUAACCAAUGACACGGGGAGGCAAGUCGUAACAUGGUAAGUGUACCGGAAGGUGCACUUGGAACAAU
rnacentral:ncRNA from 1 species